rnacentral:lncRNA from 1 species
GUAGAUUGUAUAUUGUGUCAUCUUGCCUCUAUUCAAUAUUCAAGACAUCAUUUUGAAAUAACCCUGCAUACAUUCCAGCAUCUUGCCCAAGACAACACACCUGUAUACCCAACAGAAGGAUGCAAUGUCACAAUAAUGAUCUGAAUGAAUUUCUCAACAUGACCGACGUCAGAGUGGCGUUCACUAUUUAAGACGGAGACUCCAGUCCAAGCUUCAUCAAACUCAUCCAGCUGUGGACUCGAUCAACUGCUGGGACAAUAAUCAAGUGAAAUCAUGAUGAAGAUACUGGUACUGCUUGGAUGUCUCCUGAGUCUGGCUCUGGCUCUUCCAGUGGACGAAGUGCAUGAGAGAAUUGCUCGUUCUUCCUCUGACUCCAAUUCCAGAGAGAUGGGGCGGUAUCCGUCAUUCUACCCACCGUAUCCCCGGUUCCCCCCACCACCACCACCAACACAGAACCAGGCCGACCUAUGGGCCUUGUUCCUGCAAUUCCUGCUGGCUAACUCCCCCCCGGCCCCGCCUCCAGUUCCGACCUAAAGACCCUAAAAUCAGUUUGUUAUCCUCUGUAUGACUUCUAUAAUAAAUCAUGCAUGACAAUAAGAAAUGUGUCGGUGGUAUUUGGUCGUAUGCUCCUGCCCUUCCUCCUGCUGGUUGCCUUGCCCAGCGCUGCACCAGCGACCGCAGCCACUACCGCUGAGACCUACUGCUGAAGUUGCCAUAUUUGGUACUUUGAUUUGCACCAAUAAUUCUUAAUACUUACAAAGUGUUUGUUCAUCUAAGGAGCAUGGCUAAUAAAUCUUUUGACAAAAAUAAGAAAUCCUUUUUUAAAAUCACCAAUUAAUCAGAAUUUCUUUCACAAUGCGUCAUCAAAACGUAGAAGAUAAACGAUGAAUACUGACUAUACA